UCCCGUAACUAGUUGUACAUUAGCAAUCUUGAAAUGUUCAUUACCAAUAUCUCCAAUACCAAUGAUACUACCCUUGCUACUAUCUCCAAACGUGACACUUCCAGCGGCAACCUUUCUAAUGCCAUUCAAGAGAGACUUAUUACCGGUCAUAUGUCUCGAACAACCACUAUCAAGGUACCACAUAUCAUGCUUAGUAACAAGGCACACCUACAAAACAAAUCAAUUAAAUUUAUAGGUACCCUUUCGUCUUAAGGGUCCUCGGGUUAGUGUAUCAUUAUAAGCAUUCGAGUUCGCAUGAUAGAAACUAGGCAUAGCAUAAUCAUGAUUAAGCACAUAGGAGUUUCUAGAUGCAACAUUCCUAGAAUAGUC
rnacentral:lncRNA from 1 species